GAUGAAGAACGCAGCGAAAUGCGAUAAGUAGUGUGAUUUGCAGAAUUCAGUGAAUCAUCGAAUCUUUGAACGCACAUUGCGCCCUUUGGUAUUCCUUAGGGCAUGCCUGUUCGAGCGUCAUUUAAACCUUCAAGCUCAGCUUGGUGUUGGGUGACUGUCCGCUUCACCGCGGACUCGCCUCAAAAUUAUUGGCGGCCGGUACAUUGGCUUCGAGCGCAGCAGAAACGCGAACUCGGGCCCGUCGUAUUGGCUCCCAGAAGCUAUCUUCACAAUUUUGACCUCGGAUCAGGUAGGGAUACCCGCUGAACUUAAGCAUAUCAAUAAGCGGAGGA
rnacentral:misc_RNA from 1 species